rnacentral:rRNA from 1 species
UACGGCUCAGUAACACGUGGCUAAUCUGCCCUUAGGACGAGAACAACCCCGGGAAACUGGGGCUAACUCUUGAUAGGCGAAGAACUCUGGAAUGAGUCUUUACCUAAAAAGAUUCACGUUAUCCUCGUGAACCUGCCUAAGGAUGAGGCCGCGACCGAUCAGGUUGUUGGCGAGGUAAUGGCUCACCAAGCCUUUUACCGGUGCGGGCCGUGGGAGCGGGAGCCCGGAGAUGGGUACUGAGACAAGGACCCAGGCCCUACGGGGCGCAGCAGUCGCGAAACCUUUGCAAUAAGCGAAAGCUUGACAGGGCUAUCCCGAGUGCCAUCCGCUGAGGAAGGCUUUUACCCAGUCUAGAACGCUGGGGGAAUAAGGAGAGGGCAAGUCUGGUGUCAGCCGCCGCGGUAAUACCAGCUCUCCGAGUGGUGUGGAUGUUUAUUGGGCCUAAAGCAUCCGUAGCUGGCUAAGUUAGUCCCUUGUUAAAUCCACCGAAUUAAUCGUUGGAUCGCGGGGGAUACUGCUUGGCUAGGGGACGAGAGAGGCAGACGGUAUUUUCGGGGUAGGGGUGAAAUCCUAUAAUCCCGGGAAGACCACCAGUGGCGAAGGCUGUCUGCUAGAACGCGCCCGACGGUGAGGGAUGAAAGCUGGGGGAGCGAACCGGAUUAGAUACCCGGGUAGUCCCAGCUGUAAACGAUGCAGACUAGGUGUUUGGACGGCCACGUGCCGUUCUAGUGCCGCAGGGAAGCUGUUAAGUCUGCCGCCUGGGGAGUACGAUCGCAAGAUUGAAACUUAAAGGAAUUGGCGGGGGAGCACA